UACGAACUGUGCGAACGUUAUUCGGAAUCACUGGGCUUACAGGGUGCGUAGGCGGCUUGUUAAGUAGGGUGUGAAAGCCCCCGGCUCAACCGGGGAAUUGCGCCCUAAACUGGCGAGCUGGAGUGAGAUAGGGGUGUGUGGAACUUCCGGUGGAGCGGUGAAAUGUGUUGAUAUCGGAAGGAACGCCGGUGGCGAAAGCGACACACUGGAUCCUGUCUGACGCUGAGGCACGAAAGCCAGGGGAGCGAACGGG
rnacentral:rRNA from 1 species